rnacentral:ncRNA from 1 species
AUAUAUGGGCAAAGCAGUUGAAAAGCUGUGACGCAAAGCUAUAGGGACUUCGACAAAUUUGAUCAAGCCAGCCAGCUGC